UCGGGAAUUUUGGACAAUGGGCGCAAGCCUGAUCCAGCCAUGCCGCGUGCGGGAAGAAGGCCUUCGGGUUGUAAACCGCUUUUGUCAGGGAAGAAAUCCCUUGAGUUAAUACCUCGGGGGGAUGACGGUACCUGAAGAAUAAGCACCGGCUAACUCCGUGCCAGCAGCCGCGGUAAUACGGGGGGAGCAAGCGUUGUUCGGAUUUACUGGGCGUAAAGGGCGCGUAGGCGGCGCAACAAGUCACUUGUGAAAUCUCCGGGCUCAACCCGGAGCGGCCAAGUGAUACUGUCGUGCUAGAGUGCGGAAGGGGCAACUGGAAUUCUCGGUGUAGCGGUGAAAUGCGUAGAUAUCGAGAGGAACACCUGCGGCGAAGGCGGGUUGCUGGGCCGACACUGACGCUGAGGCGCGAAAGCCAGGGGAGCGAA
rnacentral:rRNA from 1 species